GUAGGUGGCAAGCGUUGUCCGGAAUUAUUGGGCGUAAAGCGCGCGCAGGCGGUCCUUUAAGUCUGAUGUGAAAGCCCACGGCUCAACCGUGGAGGGUCAUUGGAAACUCGGGGACUUGAGUACAGAAGAGGAAAGCGGAAUUCCAAGUGUAGCGGUGAAAUGCGUAGAGAUUUGGAGGAACACCAGUGGCGAAGGCGGCUUUCUGGUCUGUAACUGACGCUGAGGCGCGAAAGCGUGGGGAGCAAACAGGGAUUAGAUACCCUGGUAGUCCACGCCGUAAACGAUGAGUGCUAAGUGUUAGGGGGUUUCCCGCCCCUUAGUGCUGCAGCUAACGCAUUAAGCACUCCGCCUGGGGAGUACGCCGCAAGGCUG
rnacentral:rRNA from 1 species